rnacentral:rRNA from 1 species
GUAGGUGGCAAGCGUUGUCCGGAUUUAUUGGGUUUAAAGGGUGCGUAGGCGGCUUAUUAAGUCAGUGGUGAAAUAUCGCAGCUUAACUGUGAGGGUGCCAUUGAUACUGAUGAGCUUGAGUACAGACGAGGUAGGCGGAAUUGACGGUGUAGCGGUGAAAUGCUUAGAUAUCGUCAAGAACACCUAUAGCGAAGGCAGCUUACUAGGCUGUAACUGACGCUGAGGCACGAAAGUGUGGGGAUCAAACAGGAUUAGAUACCCUGGUAGUCCACACUGUAAACGUUGAUUACUCGCUGUUUGCGAUACACAGCAAGCGGCUUAGCGCAAGCGAUAAGUAAUCCACCUGGGGAGUACGCCGGCAACGGUGAA